GGGACAGGAUUUCUUUAUUGGGGUGCAAACUGUUAUGAGAAGGCAACAGUUCCAAGUGCAGAGAUAAGAUUCAGGCGAGGCCUUCCUCCUGGAGAUGGAGUGCUUUUCUACCCUGGGGAAGUUUUCUCAUCUUCACAUCAGCCAGUUGCUUCAGUAAGACUUGAGCGUCUUCUUAGUGGUUUGCAGGACAUUGAAUAUCUGAAGCUUUAUGCAUCAAGAUAUGGUAGGGACGAG
rnacentral:misc_RNA from 1 species